UGGCGCCCAACGUUGAGGCUUGAGAACAUGGAGGAUCGGUGAACGUAGCACACCAAAGCAGGCCUGCAUAUCAGUUGGACCACCGUGGAGAACGCUCCAUGAGCGGAGGUCCGGUCAGUGAUCGCCACGGGGACACCCGACCAUGAGACAGAUCCGGGGAGUUGAUUUGUGCCAACCCAAGGUAAGUUUACCAUGGGACAAGCAUUUGGUAAGCAGGAUUUAUUUAUUUCAGGACUUAAAUAGUCUCUCAAGACAUGAGGAACAAGGGUGAAAAAAAAGAUUUUAAAAAGUUUCUUGAUNAUAUUGGGGACCUUUGCCCCU
rfam:Neotoma lepida isolate 417 scaffold_502, whole genome shotgun sequence.